GUAUAUGGUUUAUAGGCACUGAGGCCCAAAUGAUACAUUCUGUUACAUACUACGGGUAUAUGAAAAACAUAGGCUUGGAAAUGCAAAGAAAGCUGACCCACAGAGAGCAGCAUUCUUCCCGACCGAGUUGCCUCGGAAAGUGUAUCCAAGUCUACAAGAUGUGCACAGGUGGAGAGAUGAGAAUGGCGGGUGUGCACAUGCCCCAAGAGGGCCAGCAACAACCACACCAAGUUCAUUCAAUAAUGAUCCUUCCGCAGGUUCACCUACGGAAA
rnacentral:misc_RNA from 1 species